GCCUCCGGGGCGGGACCGGACCAGGCACCGGCGGCGGUCGAGCUGUGGGAGAGCCCCACCACCCCCACCCCCGCACGUGGCGGCGGCCCCCGGGCUGUCCGCGGAGGGGAAGCGGCGGGGCCCGGCGGGGCCGUUGCCCAGCGGCCGUUAGAGCGUCGGGAGCGGCGGCUGGGGAUGCCCUCGCCCCGCACCCCGUCCUCCACACGUCGUCAGGCUGAAGGCACCUUGGGCGCUGGUGCACCUCGGAAAGGCGGGAAGUACGUGUCUGAGAGCUAACGUCAGGAGUGUAAUAAAUACACCUAUACAUAGCUGGCCAUAAGCAACAUGCAGAUCGACCGGGGAGCGCUCGCCUGGGCAGGUUUGUGCAUCGCUGCAGUGCCCGAGGCCACACGCAAAGCGCGCUGACUGACCACGGCAGAUGAACUUGGACGGGGGGAAGGAGGGCGCGUCCGGCCCCCGGCCGCGCUGCCGGCCUUGCGAGGGGCCGCUCUGCGCAGCGUGCACCGCGUCCCGGCGAUGGCAACUGCCACCGCCCGUACCGCGCCGGGAGGCUGCCGUGCUGCCGCUGGCCGUGCUUGCUCUGUGCCGCUUCGGACCUGCCGCCCUCGGCCUUGUACAACUACUCAGUCCGGAUACGUAUUUCUUACCCUGUGGCACUGCGUGCUUGUGCUCUUCCGUGGGUACAACCACAGCACUACGUAAGUAAGGACGGCAGACGCCGCUGUGCCAGCUUGUGGAGAUCAACAGCUAGCAGAAGUCUGCACAGCGAUGCCGAUUUUUCAAAUGCUAACAAAACUGUAGAAUUGUGAUGUAGCCUUUAUGCCGGAGAUGCAGGGUCUACAAGAAGCAGAAUCUACUGACAACUAUUUUCUUCUUACCCAAAUAUUUAUUUACAGUUCUGUGUUUCCAGAAGAACAUUUCAUUAUAUUAUUUUUUUUUUAUUUUUCUGCAAGGCUUGACUUGAAAAGAAGCCAGGCUGAGGAUCUCGUGCACUUUUCAGCUGUCUGCAUGAAGGGUGGCCUGUAACGGCUUAAAAACGUAAGGCCAAGAACAGCUCAGGAAGCGGGUGAGUGCUCUUCCAAACUUGUCAAUCAUCUUAAGAGGAGGAACCCAUUACCAGCUUUCUCAAGGAACAGGAGCAGCCCUCUCGAGCAGCCUUGUCUGUCCUAUCAGCCACCUCAUACUUGGGAAGGAAAAUGUCAAAAGGGUGGAAAUCCCAACAGAUGUGAGGUUGUAAUGAAGGGUUUAUGAACGUGAGUGUAAGACUAGACCUGCACUUCCUGGUGAGCCUCCCUGCAAGCCCUCACAUGAUACCUUCUGCGUGGCCUGUGCCUGGGAGACAAGGCAUUUGUCUUCUGCCAAUUCUGUCUGGUCAAUAGCUUGUCCCUUCAAAAGCUUCAAGAGUGAGAAGGAACCCCAUCCUGCACAAUAUGAAUAGAAGAAGGGGUCCCCAUCUCCUUACCAUCUCAAGUCCUUCUGUCCCUGCAGACUUCAGCAUACAGAAAAGUCUCCUGUGGGCAAAUCCGUGUUCCUACCCAGGUCAGACCAAACGGGGAGUAAGGGAGUAGGGGGGUGAUGGCAGAGAAGAAAGCGACCACACGUAUCUGCUCUUUGACUCCCUUGACUCCUUGUGCAACAGAUGUAGUGAUAGUCUGGUGUGUAGUAACUGCACAACUACUGUUGGCACCAGUGUUGUGAAAGACUAAAAUCGAAUGUCCCUGCAGUAUUCAAUAAUAAAUUAUUUGCAAACAUAAUUCAAAAACUAAGGCCCUAGAUGUGUUGGCUUGUAUUCUCUUCUGUCCUCCACUGAGAGGAGAUUACAAAAUACAUACAAACCUACUCCCACUACAAUGGACCACGCUUUCUAGCAGGGGGCCUCUGUUUCUCUUUUGAGACAUGCCGACACAUUUCUGAAGUUAAGAAAUAGUCAUAAUAGCUGGUUCUGUUAAUAACAAUCUCUUGCAAUGAGGGUGAGAAAAUGAAGCUGAUAUAUCAGGUAUUCAUCUAACUUUAUGUUUUAUUUGUGUGUUAUCUUGUAAACACGAGGAAAUUUACACAAAAUGCGGGGCUAACCUAACUUCCCAUGGGGACUUCUGCAGGUACAGGGCUGAUGAGACCUGCCCCUUAACUACAGAGUAGGCAGGAACAGAGACUGCUUUUACCUUCACGCCCUACUUACAUUUUAAAACACUAUCUACACAGACAUAUUCAAUAAUUCUGACCAUGCAACUAGUUGUUCUUUCCACUCACUACAUCAAUAUUGUGAUAAAAUAAGCAUCUUUUUAUACUGAUAGUUUGGG